UACGUAGGGUGCAAGCGUUGUCCGGAAUUAUUGGGCGUAAAGAGCUCGUAGGCGGUUCGUCGCGUCGGCUGUGAAAUCCCGGAGCUCAACUCCGGGUCUGCAGUCGAUACGGGCGGACUCGAGUUCGUCAGGGGAGACUGGAAUUCCUGGUGUAGCGGUGAAAUGCGCAGAUAUCAGGAGGAACACCGGUGGCGAAGGCGGGUCUCUGGGCCGAUACUGACGCUGAGGAGCGAAAGCGUGGGGAGCGAACAGG
rnacentral:rRNA from 1 species